GCCCCGCUAGCUCAGCUGGAUAGAGCGACGGCCUUCUAAGCCGUGGGUCGGAGGUUCGAGUCCUCCGCGGGGCGCCA
rnacentral:tRNA from 1 species